UACGUAGGGUGCAGGCGUUAAUCGGAAUUACUGGGCGUAAAGCGUGCGCAGGCGGUGCUGUAAGACAGGUGUGAAAUCCCCGGGCUUAACCUGGGAACUGCAUUUGUGACUGCAUCGCUGGAGUGCGGCAGAGGGGGAUGGAAUUCCGCGUGUAGCAGUGAAAUGCGUAGAUAUGCGGAGGAACACCGAUGGCGAAGGCAAUCCCCUGGGCCUGCACUGACGCUCAUGCACGAAAGCGUGGGGAGCAAACAGG
rnacentral:rRNA from 1 species